rnacentral:lncRNA from 1 species
UGUUUUAAUUAAAAUUUAACUUUUUUUUUUUUUUUCUAAGCAGAAAAGAAGGUUUCAGUAAAGAAAGUCUCCAAAAAGGUGGUUAAAAAGGGUCCUGAAGACAUCCAACCACCUAAAGUUCCUGAGGUUCUGCCAGAGAAGCCCAAAGAGGUCAAAAUAACAUCUAUGGCAAGGAGAGAAGAGAUUCAUGAAGAAAAAAUGGAAAUAUAUGAAAAGUCCAAAGAGCCUUAUGAAGAAUGGGAAGAAGAUUAUGGAGAAGAGCAUGAUUAUUAUUUCAGGGAAGAAGGUUAUGAUGAAGGGGAAGAAGAAUGGGAAGAAGCUUAUGAGAAAAGAGAAGUGGCUUAUGAAGAAACACGAGUCAUUCAUGAAGAAGUGGCUGAAGUUCCUAAGAAGCCUGUUCCUGAGCAGAAGCCUCCAGCAAUUACAGCAGAAAAGAAAGAAAAGAAAGAAGUAACAGUUCGUAAAGUUGUCAAGAAACCUGUUGAAGAAAAAGUUGAGAUUACCACUCAGAGGGUCGCAGAAGAAAAAGUCAAACAGGCUGAGGUAACAAAGAAAGUUCCACCACCAAAACCUUCAAUGAUCGUUGAAGAAAAAGUUAUAAAAAAGAAAGUACCGACAGUAGAAACAUGGACUGUUUCAGAAGAAAAGAUGUCGGUUUCUGUCCACAGAGAAGAAGAGUACUCAUAUGUCACAGAGCCAGCAGAGCAUGAGAAGACAGUUGAAGAAAGAUUCUUUGAAGCUGUUUACCCAAUUGAAGCACGUAAGGAAGUCAAAGAGGAGGAAGAAGAAGAAGAGGUCAUUUCUGCAGAACUGGAGAUCCCUCAUGAUGAAGUGCCUGAGAUACCAGAGAGGCAUGUAUCAGAAGAAAGAAAGCCUGUUCCUGUCCCAAAAGAAGUUCCACCAGCUAAAGUUCCUGAGGUACCUAAGAAACACGUUCCAGAAAAGAAAGUUGCUGUUACUAGAAAGGAAGUGGCUCCCCCAGCAAAAGGUACAGCAUCUUUUGAAAGUGGACUUUUACCAGUCCUGUACUAUUGUUCUAACUUCUAAAUAUAUGUAGACUUUGUGUGCUAUGUUAUAUGUCUGUUCUCACCUAAGACAAAUUCAAAAACACUGGAAAGAUUACUGAAACACAUUUUAAUAUCUUUAAAGUGCCUGAAGUGCCUAAAAAACCUGUUCCUGAAGAAAAAGUACACGUUCCUGUUCCUAGAGAAGAACUUCCACCUGCCAAAGGUAUACUUGGUGAUGGACUAUACAUGUACCUCUUAAAUAUCUGUUUCUGUU